CUACGGGUCGCUCCAGUGGGGAAUAUUGCACAAUGGGGGAAACCCUGAUGCAGCAACGCCGCGUGGAGGAUGACGCAUUUCGGUGUGUAAACUCCUUUUAUAUAGGAAGAUAAUGACGGUACUAUAUGAAUAAGCACCGGCUAACUCCGUGCCAGCAGCCGCGGUAAUACGGAGGGUGCAAGCGUUACUCGGAAUCACUGGGCGUAAAGCGCGCGCAGGCGGCCCCUUAAGUUGGAUGUGAAAGCCUACGGCUUAACCGUAGAACUGCAUCCAAAACUGAGGGGCUAGAGUCUGGGAGGGGAAGAUGGAAUUAGUUGUGUAGGGGUAACAUCCGUAGAGAUAACUAGGAAUACCAAGAGCGAAGGCGAUCUUCUGGAACAGUACUGACGCUGAGGCGCGAAAGCGUGGGGAGCAAACAGGAUUAGAUACCCCCGUAGUC
rnacentral:rRNA from 1 species